rnacentral:misc_RNA from 1 species
CAACCCUCGAACCCCUCCGGGGGGUCGGCGUUGGGGAUCGGGAACCCCUCAGACGGGAUCCCGGCCCCGAAAUACAGUGGCGGUCUCGCCGCAGCCUCUCCUGCGCAGUAGUUUGCACAACUCGCACCGGGAGCGCGGCGCGUCCACGUCCGUAAAACACCCAACUUCUGAAAUG